rnacentral:rRNA from 1 species
CUCCCAAAGCGUAACGGAGGAGUACGAAGGUACGCUAGGUACGGUCGGAAAUCGUGCUGAUAGUGCAAUGGCAUAAGCGUGCUUAACUGCGAGACCGACAAGUCGAGCAGGUGCGAAAGCAGGUCAUAGUGAUCCGGUGGUUCUGUAUGGAAGGGCCAUCGCUCAACGGAUAAAAGGUACUCUGGGGAUAACAGGCUGAUACCGCCCAAGAGUUCAUAUCGACGGCGGUGUUUGGCACCUCGAUGUCGGCUCAUCUCAUCCUGGGGCUGUAGCCGGUCCCAAGGGUAUGGCUGUUCGCCAUUUAAAGAGGUACGUGAGCUGGGUUUAAAACGUCGUGAGACAGUUUGGUCCCUAUCUGCCGUGGGCGUUGGAUAUUUGAAGGGGGCUGCUCCUAGUACGAGAGGACCGGAGUGGACGAACCUCUGGUGUACCGGUUGUCACGCCAGUGGCAUCGCCGGGUAGCUAUGUUCGGAAGAGAUAACCGCUGAAAGCAUCUAAGCGGGAAACUCGCCUUAAGAUGAGAUAUCCCUGGGGACUAGAUCCCCUUGAAGGGUCGUUCGAGACCAGGACGUUGAUAGGUCGGGUGUGUAAGCGCAGUAAUGCGUUCAGCUAACCGAUACUAAUUGCCCGUAAGGCUUGAUCCUAUAACA